CAGGGAGACAACACAUGAUUUUGAUGCCUGGGCAGUUUGUCCCUAGGCCAAAAUCCUGUCACCCUAGGUCGAUCGGUAUCUCGGCAGCGCAGUUGAAGGACAAGAUCUUGCUCUUUAACUGCAGUGUUUAGCUCCUAAGCUUUUAUCUAGGUUACGCCCCACGAGGGUUCUCCUGGGCCAUUAGCUCAGGUGGUUAGAGCGCACCCCUGAUAAGGGUGAGGUCCCUGGUUCAAAUCCAGGAUGGCCCAUUCGGUGUUGGGGGUUUAGCUCAGUUGGUAGAGCGCCUGCUUUGCAAGUAGGAUGUCAGCGGUUCGAGUCCGCUAACCUCCACUGACCAAACCCGACCUGUAGCGGCAGCUACAGGAAAUACCUAAAGUUAAGCGUGAUCUAGGCGGUCCGAGCUGAAACGUGGAGAAUCCGACCCCAGCUUCCUGUCAUUCUGUGAUAAGGCAUCGCAGUUGACAAGAUGCUGGGCUCAGCAGAGCUAGAGAUAGCUCAACUGAACUUCAGCAGAACCUUGACAACUGCAUAGGUAAGUCUGGAAAGAACAAAGCAUCUCAUAGAUGCGUCACUACUCUUGACUGCUCUGUAAAGCGAGCAACAUACAAGAAGUGGCGCCUAAUUCUUGAGCAAGAGUUACAAGACCCACGCAACUUGAUAUCAGUUGCAUCGAGCACUGUACAGAGUGCCACGCUACGGACCGGCACAACUGGGUCCGUUGAAGCGGUGGGCGUGGAGUUCUAAACUUG
rnacentral:tRNA from 1 species